rnacentral:rRNA from 1 species
UAGGGAAUCUUCCGCAAUGGGCGAAAGCCUGACGGAGCAACGCCGCGUGAGUGAUGAAGGUCCUCGGAUCGUAAAACUCUGUUAUUAGGGAAGAACAAAUGUGUAAGUAACUAUGCACGUCUUGACGGUACCUAAUCAGAAAGCCACGGCUAACUACGUGCCAGCAGCCGCGGUAAUACGUAGGUGGCAAGCGUUAUCCGGAAUUAUUGGGCGUAAAGCGCGCGUAGGCGGUUUGUUAAGUCUGAUGUGAAAGCCCACGGCUCAACCGUGGGGAGGCAUUGGAAACUGGAAAACUUGAGUGCAGAAGAGGAAAGAGGAAUUCCAUGUGUAGCGGUGAAAUGCGCAGAGAUAUGGAGGAACACCAGUGGCGAAGGCGACUUUCUGGGCUGUAACUGACGCUGAUGUGCGAAAGCGUGGGGAUCAAACAGG